rnacentral:lncRNA from 1 species
CCGUAGGAUUUACGAUAACUAUAGGCAGAUAUCAAGGGCCACGGUGGAAAGGGGCCAUGACCAGGACGCAGUGCAGUGCCGGGUUAAAGUGAAGGAGCUGCGGAAUGCCUACCACAAAGCGCAGGAGGCAAACCGCCGCUCCAGUGCUGCCCCCAUGACCUGCCAUUUCUACAAAGAGCUAGACGUGAUACUUGGGGGCGACCCCACCUCCACUCCGAAGAGCACCAUGGACACUUCAGAGGCCGUAGCAGCGCAGAGUUCAACAAGGCAGGAGGAGGAAAGCAGGAGCGGGUGCCGAGCCAGAGGAUGGCAUCCCUAGAUGCAUGCAGUCAGGAGCUGUUUUCAAGCCAGGAGGAAGGUAGCCAGUCGCAGCGGACGGUGCUUGGGGAAGAACAAACAGCAGAGAAGGUGUCCGGUAAGUGGCUUUUAUUUUGGGAAGGUAGUUGUUCGGUGCGGGCUCUUGGGGCGAGGAGGGUUGCAGAAAGAAGGGUUAGGGCUGCGUGCAUGCCUAGAUGCGGAAUAGGGCAUUAUGUGCUCUCUCAUAUCGCAGUAAUUGGCCUCAGUGAUCUCUUCAAAGAUCUCAUGCAGCAGCUGGGCAAUCCACUUGUGCAGGUUCCUUGGCAGAGCUACUGUGCUUCUUGUCCCAGUAAGGCUAACAUGUCCAUGCCACUGUGCCGAGGGGGGACGGAGGGGGAACCAUUGCUGCACACAGGCAAGUGGCAUAAGGGCCAGGGCCAGCCGCAUUGUAGUAGAAGACCCUCCCUUGCUUCCCAGGUCACUCUCAGCAGCGAGAUAUCUUCCAGGACAAACUCAUCCUGUGGAAAAUUUGGGGACAGUGUUCAGUAUAGGGUCCCCCUACAGCUGUUGGCUCUCCCCAAGGCACAGAUCCCCAGAGGACAGUACAGCCGUGAAACAAUUAGUCCCCCUUGCCCUUGUGCUUACUCACCAUUCUGGGGCUCCUGUGUGUUAUGUGCACUCGCUUUGGGAUGGGCAAUUUCUGCUAUUGU